rnacentral:lncRNA from 1 species
CUUGUGGGCACCCAUGGAAUCUGCUGGGUGGGCACCUGCUUAGUGGCUCCAGAACUCCUGGGCAUUUGGGAGCCUGGGAUAGCCUGGAGUUGGGAGUGGCCUGGAGGAAGGGGCUUCAAUUUCCUGCUCUGAAAAAGGGAAGAACAGCAGACUUUGGUCUGUAAAUCUUUCUUCCAUAUGUAGUUGAAGGCGAGCAUACCUGUCUUAGGGACAGUGAAAUCCCAGAGGCUCCUGAUCAUUCCUCUCCUGACUUUGCUUUGUUUCAGGUGAGUUUCCAAGACCCUUAUGAGUCCUGUGGUGUCUAGGAUAGUGCUGCUUUCUAAUGGCCAGGGUGUAAGUGGAGGGAUCUAGAUACUGUCAUAUCCUGUUUCCUAGAGCCUGACAUGUAGUGGGUGCCCAGUAAAUGUUCAUGGCUGCAUGAUGGACUGGCUCCAGUUAGCCUCUGGAUGAGGGCUGGUAGAGCAGUGCUGGUGGAAUUCUAGAAAGCAGGGAAGCUGGGGCCUGCCGUAGUGCCUCAUCCUUGGAAAGAGGGGAGCCACCAAAGGCCAGGGAAGAAAAGCAGAGUUGGAGAAUGGGACUGAGCAAACACAUUAACAGUGUUCUGAGGACAGUGAUUGUACCAAUUCUGCUGUCAGCUGAGCUCUGGGUUUCUCUCCUAAGUAGACAGUGAGAGAAGCACCUGUCUUAUCCCAGAAACAGAAGCCAGGCCUACUCUAGAAUAAUUUAAUAUUUCUCUUUUCUAGUUUCCCAUCCUCUGCCAUUUACUUCUAGGAAAGUCCUACUCUCCAGGUGACAAAGAUUUUCUGUAAAUGCUGCCCACCCCCACUGCCUCUGCCUGAUGACGUCCUCUGGGUGCUUGUGUGAGAAUCAUGCAGUGACCACAUCAUCACCCACAGCUGAUGACUCAGAGUGGACCACCUAUUCAGCCCAGAGCAGGAACCCAAGCCUAUGAAGUGAAUUGUAGGAUGUGGUAUCAGCCAGUAGAGGUACUGGAGCACCAGAAACCUGAGUUCCCAGUGAUAGAACCGCCAAUGCCUCAUGGCCAUGCUGCUAAAUCCAUCAGGAUAGUUUCUUUAGCAGGUAUGUGUUUGAGCCCUUCUGUUGUGCUAGAACCAAGCAUGUUGGAGAUGUGUCUCCUUCACUUAGAGAGCUGACCAUCUGGUUGAAGAGACGGAAAUGCCAGGAGCCAGAGUACAGUUUGGGGAGGGCUAUGGUAGCACAAUACACAAGGCAGUAACAAAGCAUGGCCACCAUCUACUAGACCCAUCUAGCAACCCAUUUAUUAUCAUAGCUUCCUUUCUAGAGAAUUUCUAACAUCCCUUAUUUAGUUACAAAUGUUUAGUGUGA